rnacentral:rRNA from 1 species
AUGGCUUUUUGAGGAUAAAUAAGAAGUCAGGCCUGCCCACUGAGAUUUAAAGGGCUGCAGUAUUAUGACUGUACAAAGGUAGCAUAAUCAUUAGUCUUUUGAUUGGGGACUGGUAUGAAGGGUUAGACGGGGAACUGUUGUCUCAGAAAUAGUGAAAUGAAAUUUUCUUUAAUGUGAAAAGACAUUAGUGAAACAAAGGGACAAGAAGACCCUUUUAAGCUUGAUUGAAUCUGUUAAAUAUAUUUAGGGUAAUAAUGUGUAUUUUAGGGGAAUCAUUUUUGCUGGGGCGGCGGGUAAUAAACAAAACAUUACUUGUGUUAAAUAAUAAUUGUUAGAUUAAGGUGUGAUCGUGUAUUAAGGAUUAAGAGAAAAAGUUACUGAAGGGAUAACAGCGUUAUAUUUUUUAGAGUUCUUAUUGACAAAAAUGUUUGCGA